GCAGUCGUGGCCGAGUGAUUAAGGUAAUGGACUAGAAAUCCAUUCGGGUCUCCCCGCACAGGUUCAAAUCAUGUCGACUGCG
rfam:Ixodes scapularis strain Wikel colony gcontig_1108378687960, whole genome shotgun sequence.